GACGAACGCUGGCGGCGUGCUUAACACAUGCAAGUCGAACGAUGAACCCGGAGCUUGCUCCGGCGGAUUAGUGGCGAACGGGUGAGUAACACGUGAGUAACCUGCCCUUGACUCUGGGAUAACUGCUAGAAAUGGUAGCUAAUACCGGAUACGACCCUCGGUGGCAUCACCAGGGGGUGGAAAGAAUUUCGGUCAAGGAUGGACUCGCGGCCUAGCAGCUAGUUGGUGAGGUAACGGCUCACCAAGGCGACGACGGGUAGCCGGCCUGAGAGGGUGACCGGCGACACUGGGACUGAGACACGGCCCAGACGCCUACGGGGGGCAGCAGUGGGGAAUAUUGCACAAUGGGCGCAAGCCUGCUGCAGCGACGCCGCGUGAGGGAUGACGGCCUUCGGGUUGUAAACCUCUUUCAGCACCGACGAAGCGCAAGUGACGGUAGGUGCAGAAGAAGGACCGGCCAACUACGUGCCAGCCGCCGCCGUAA
rnacentral:rRNA from 1 species